AGUGAACGCUGGCGGUAGGCCUAACACAUGCAAGUUGAACGGCAGCACAGUAAGAGCUUGCUCUUACGGGUGGCGAGUGGCGGACGGGUGAGGAAUACAUCGGAAUCUACUUUUUCGUGGGGGAUAACGUAGGGAAACUUACGCUAAUACCGCAUACGACCUACGGGUGAAAGCAGGGGAUCUUCGGACCUUGCGCGAUUGAAUGAGCCGAUGUCGGAUUAGCUAGUUGGCGGGGUAAAGGCCCACCAAGGCGACGAUCCGUAGCUGGUCUGAGAGGAUGAUCAGCCACACUGGAACUGAGACACGGUCCAGACUCCUACGGGAGGCAGCAGUGGGGAAUAUUGGACAAAGGGCGCAAGCCUGAUCCAGCCAUACCGCGUGGGUGAAGAAGGCCUUCGGGUUGUAAAGCCCUUUUGUUGGGAAAGAAAAGCAGCAGGUUAAUACCCCGCUGUUCUGACGGUACCCAAAGAAUAAGCACCGGCUAACUUCGUG
rnacentral:rRNA from 1 species